rnacentral:misc_RNA from 1 species
AUUUCGAAUUAACUGUAGACAAAGUCAGACGUGUUUUGUAAAAGUUGUGUAAAAUGGCAAAUGAUAAAGGAAUUUUUGUACAUCUUGUUGCUGGAGGAGCGGGAGGAACAGCAGGGGCAGUAGCAACAUGUCCUCUAGAAGUUGUGAAGACGAGGCUACAGUCAUCGCUGGGGAACAGCCUUGCAUCUGCCCACCACCCUGCAUUUCGACCCUCACACAAUACAGUCCUUGCCCACGCUGCGGGCAUCCACACAAGUCAAGGGGCAGUAUUCCCAGUAAUGAGGACGCGGACAGGAAGCCUGCGGUAUUGUUUGGCACACAUCCUGGAAACAGAAGGUGUGCAGGGUCUAUUCAGGGGUCUAGGACCAAAUCUUGUAGGAGUAGCUCCAUCAAGAGCCAUCUACUUUUUCUCCUAUGCCAACAUGAAGACGUUUCUGAACAGCCGAUUAACCCCAGACACCCCCGUAGUUCACUUCCUCUCAGCACUCACUGCAGGUAAAUACUGCAUUGAUUCUCAGAGAAAAUUAUUAAUUAUACAAACUUGUGAGAGUGGCCUUGGCAGGUGUAAUUGCAUACUUUUUCCAUGUAGCUGUAACACAGGAAGCAGACUGUGUCUACCAAUAAUCUUCCUGCUCAGGCUCACCUGACAUACUUUGUAUUUAUUUGCUUUUUUCAUUGUUCUGUUAUAUAGCAUUGUUUAAACUCUAAAACAAUACAGUACAUGUAUUAUGUGUUUGUUAAAAUCUUGCACUUAAACAUUAUCAAUUAGUAAUAUAAUAUUUCAUGUAGUCGCCCACAUCGAUCCAUCAGUUUGCUUUGAUUCAACUUGCAAAAAUAUUGUGACGAGUUGCUUUCAAAAUUACCUCACCCUUUGUCACACAAUUUAUCCCUUUGUGGAUGAAUUAAAAAAACUAUUUAGGGAUCAUAUAAAUACACAUUGCUUCAAGAAACGCAUCAACAUAUUCAACAAAAUUAUAGUCACCGUCUAGAUGGCAUUUAAUGUUAAGCACAAUGUUAACAGACAUGAAGUUUUUGAACUUCUAUCACAGGUUUUCUUGGACAGCUUUCAACUAGGAGUUGUGUUAAAUGUCAAACAUGCAAAUUUUUUUCGUAGCAGCAAAUCCUAAACAAAGUUUUUUCAGAUGGAUGCUGCAGCUUUCAUUAAAGAAAACUUCUACAGUACACUUGAGUACUGUCCCUUGAGUACUGCCCCUUUUCUUCUCCCUCACCAGAGGGCACUAUUAACAGAGAGUACUUUGAAGGUUUCACAUCCUGUUCAUUGACUAACCCUAUCUGGUUUGUGAAGACGCGCCUACAACUAGAUCAAAAGAGAAACAACAGAUUAACAGUAAGGGAGUGCAUUAGACAAAUCAACGAGCAACACGGAAUUCGUGGAUUCUACAAGGGAAUUACUGCUUCCUACUAUGGCAUGGCUGAAACUGUCAUCCACUUUGUGAUUUAUGAGGCCAUCAAAGCGCGUCUACAAGAACGCUACUCUGGGGACAGCACGAACUGGACAGAUUUCUUGCGCUGUAUGGUGGCUGGAGCAACCUCCAAAACCAUUGCAACUUGUGUUGCUUACCCACAUGAGGUUGCUCGUACUCGACUUAGGGAGGAGGGAACCAAGUACCGCUCCUUCUUUCAGACUCUACUGGUGGUGUAUAAAGAGGAGGGGAGGGCCGGAUUAUACCGAGGAAUUGGAACUCAACUGGUCCGUCAGAUCCCAAACACUGCUAUUAUGAUGGCCACAUAUGAAUUAGUUGUCUAUCUCUUCUCAGACUCGCAUUAAGGAAUCUCAUGAAAAAUUUGAUUAUCUGUGAUAGAUUCUGGGCGGCAAGAUUCCAUUCCAGCCAAUCAAAAGAAAGGACAGGACUGGCGUUAAAUUUCCCUGCCUCUCUAGCUGGUGUUCAAUGUUCUAUCGUGCCAAACCUGUGUAGUGCUGAAGCUAGUCGUGUAUAAAUGGCCUAAACAUUUGGAUUACACUUGUGGAGUGUCUCAGUUGGACAAACUUCGACAUGACAAUUUCCCAUUUUGGCGUCUCAUUCAGAUUUUUGAAAUGAAUGGAAACAAAUUGCUCAGAAAUGACACAUGUGAAAAAAGGAGUCAUUUUAGCUCAGGUUAAAAUCAACAUCCAACCUCUAAAUUUGUAUAUGCACAGUAUUAAAAACUACAUACAUGAUCUUGACCGUAAAAACCUGUGGUUUCUUUUUCGAAGCUGAUUUGUCAAUGAUUAGUGGCAUAAGUGGAGGCUUACCUUUUAAUAUGAAAACCAGUUUGAAACUGAUAAAAGAUGUAUUUCGUUGAAAACUCAAAAAACCCCAAAAAGUUCAAAAAAAAAAGUGGCUUCCAGAUUAAAUACAGAAGUAACUUUGCAUUUUGUGUCCUCAAACUGUAUAAUGGUUGUUAAACUUUACUUGAAAUUUUAUUAUUAAAGUUUGUCAUAAAAAAUUG